rnacentral:rRNA from 1 species
UACAGAGGGUGCGAGCGUUAAUCGGAAUUACUGGGCGUAAAGGGCGCGUAGGCGGUUUUAUGUGAGUGAUGUGAAAGCCCCGGGCUUAACCUGGGAACUGCAUUUGUGACUGCAUGGCUAGAGUGCGGCAGAGGGGGAUGGAAUUCCGCGUGUAGCAGUGAAAUGCGUAGAUAUGCGGAGGAACACCGAUGGCGAAGGCAAUCCCCUGGGCCUGCACUGACGCUCAUGCACGAAAGCGUGGGGAGCAAACAGG